UCCAAGUGAAAACAACCGUGCAGUCAUCAUCACCAUUGUUUUUCUCAUCUUUGUCAUCCUGGUCAUUGCUGUUGUCGUUUCCAUACUGAGGAAUGAGAUACGUGAUGGAGAAGGUGGAGAUGCUGAGUGAAAUGACGCCCCAAUGAAUGCUGAUGUCAUCCUGAACAAGAGCCUUUAAAUGUCAUCGAAGACAACCAACAGGACUAAACUGGCUGAAGCAUGACCCCUGAUCUGAAGUACCUUCAUCCACUUGUGUGAAGGGGUACUAACAAAAUAUACAGAACUAUGCAUUAUGGCCCCAAAUAGUAUUUUAUGUUGUAAACCCAAUAGGAAGGCUUCCAUGUUAGAUGGACCAGUUUGAGAUCACAAAUUUAAAAAAAUAUUAAGGAUGUGUCCUACAGAACCUUUGGGUGUAUGAAAAAAUACUUGCCAACCUGUAACUACUGCCAGUAAGACCCUGACUCUGGUGUUGGUCAGAGGGCCUGGUGACGCCGCUGCAUUGCAGCCUCUCCUCUGUCAGGCUGCCCCAGGGCAGCUGUGGCUACUAUCCAGUAACUUGGCACCAUCAGAAUGUGAAUGGCUGAAUGUAGUGUGAAGCUCUUUAUCAGUGCAGCUUUAUAAACUCCUUUACUUGUGUGGUAAAGUGACACACAAGUACAGGCUAUUUACCAUUUACAGAAACAUAAUCAAUGGCAAAAAUGUACAAUAUUUUUCUAGCAACAGUUAAACAUAAGCUAUGAAAUAUGUUGUCAGAAUACAACAUAGUUAGGGUCAUUAUUGUCAUCCAAAUUGGUACACAACGUUUACAUUUUCUAACCUUUGGGCCUUUUUUCAGACUUAAUACAGUCAUUUAAUGGCUGUACAAGCAAAAUGCUGUUUCCACACUUCAGUCUGUUACUGAUUGCACAGUGCCUUUCUUAUGGCUAAAGUAGCCAUUCCUUUUCAAAGGUCUAUAAUUUACUUUCAACUGUAAAAGCUGUGACUUAUCAAUGCAGAAACUUACAAAAACACACGGAGGCACUAAUCCUGUGCCACUGAGAGGACUGGAUUAGAGAAGUUCAGUGACAUUAAGGUGACGUCCCGAGUUGAAGCACCUCAGUGACCUUCAUCUUACUCUGAGCCUCAUGUUUCUCUGUUUGGUACCGUUACCGUCUUACUCCUCUUGUUUUAACGGUGAAACAACUCGGCGAAAACCUCAAGGAUUCAUACACAACAUGUAUGUUUGCACUGCGUUACGCUAGUUCACUUGAGGGAAGGUUUUACCAGCCGACAUCCAUUAAAGUGACGAUAAAAUUUUUACUUAUUAAAGUAGAGAACAGAUGUUUUUAAGUCCUAAGAUCAGCUAAACAAAUUGAGUCACUAUUGGAGUGAUUUUAUAUGGUGCAGCUUUUUAAGCUUUAAAUUACAGAUUUUUUGUUCGCUGCAUUAAUAAUAUAGCUGGAGUGAUCGCUUACAAACACUAAACUGACUAAACUGUAAAAUGUUAUGCUACAUUGUUUCUCAGACAGCAUAAUAUUUUUAACAGUUUUUUAAGAAGUCUUCAUCUUCUGCAAAUUUGACACAUUUUCUCAUGCUGGCAGAGAAAUGUCUGUAUUUGAAAUAUACUUUUAUAGACUUGUGUGUAUGAAAAAUAACAGGUACAAACACUACAGCCGUUUUCCUUUUUAAUACAGAAGACAGGAGGAGUUACAUCUGACUGGUUGGUUGAUUGAUGUCUGUUUCUAUUUAUUCCUCAUAUAUUACUAGUUUUGGUAGUAAUCGCUGAUAACUGGUGCGCUCCCUUGACUGGACUGCUAUUGAUGUAAUUUUUCUCAUUUGUUGAACUUUGAUUAUACAUCUCUUAGUUUUUACACCAAUAGCCCUUUGAGACUUGAAUAAACCUGAACCCAAAUGAAAUACUUGAACAGGGCCAAUUCUAGACAUUUGGUUUUAUUAAGAAAAAUGCUGUAUUGUGCCCUGUGACCACUUGGUGCCCUACAGGUAGGGCACCAAGUGAACUAUUCCAUAUCCGUCUUUUUUUAUAUUGUUCCAUGUUGUAAAAUGUGAACAUAGAUUAAGAUGAUUCUUGUGAAUAAAAACCCUGUAAAAACAUUGUUGUAAUUUUUUUAGUCUAUUAUUAAAACCCAGUUCUACA